rnacentral:rRNA from 1 species
GAUGAACGCUGGCGGCGUGCCUAAUACAUGCAAGUCGAGCGAACAGACGAGGAGCUUGCUCCUCUGACGUUAGCGGCGGACGGGUGAGUAACACGUGGAUACCCUACCUAUAAUUCUGGGAUAACUUCGGAAAACCGGAGCUAAUACCGGAUAAUAUAUUGAACCGCAUGGUUCAAUAGUGAAAUACGGUUUUGCUGUCACUUAUAGAUGGAUCCGCGCCUCAUUAACUGGUUGGUAAGGUAACGGCUUACCAAGGCAACGAUGCGUAGCCGACGUGAGAGGGUGAUCGGCCACACUGGAGGUGAGCCACGGCCCAGACUCUGACGGGAGGCAGCAGUAGGGAAGCGUGCGCAAAGGGCGAAAGCUUGACGGAGCAACGGAGCGCGAGUGAUGAAGGUCUGCGGAUCGUAAAACGCUGUUAUUAGGGAAGAACAAAUGUGUAAGUAACGAUGCACGUGUGGACGGUACCGAAACAGAAAGCCACGGCAAACUACGG